AAACUUAACUCUAACUUUCAGAAUUCUUCUGUUUCUAUGGUAGGCACUUCGGCAUGGACCCCAGCUGUAUCUUGGGGUCUUUGUGCCGGGGACACAUGCUGAUGCCCACACUCUUCCCUAUGAGCGAUUUCUUGGAGCUGGUCUGAGUUCUCUGUGACUUUCAUCAGCUCCUGGGUUUCCCCGGUUUCCUUUCUGGGGGUCUCAGAUUUCUACUCCUGCAUCUGUCUAAAUAUGUCUCCUCAGAGUAUGCUCUAGCUAAUUUGGAUAGUUUUUAAAAAUACAUAUGAUGGCAUAUUUUUUUACCUAUGGACCUCUGUUUCUGUCAUUUUGUUUCCUAUGUAAAAUGUCUAAUCUCUCUUUCUUCAAUACAUAGAUAUAUUUUAAAAAAUCAUUCCAGUGCUUCACUUGAUCUUUCCUGUUGAGUGACAUUUCUCCCUAAGAAUCUAUAUGGGAUGUUCCAUGUUCAUCUACUAUUUGCUCAUUAUACUUAGAUGUUUAUUACAAAUAUAUAUGUACUUGUCUUACCAUUACAAUUAAAUGAGUACAUGUCAAUAAAACUUAGGGUAUCAUGUGGCCCUCUCUUUGUGUGGAGCCACAUUCAAAAGAAGUCUCAUCUGAAACACAGAAAUGAUUAAAAGGUAUUCCCAAUAUUUACAUUUAUCUCUUUGAAAAUAGUAAAGGAUAGCUAAUUAAUUGCUAUUAUAGCUAAUAGCCUAUAAAAUUGCUUUUUUUCUGUCUUUUGUCCACAUUACACUGAUACAACUCUCUUUUUCUCUUCACUGAAGCCUCUUGUCAAACCCCCCAAACUUCUAGAAACCUAGUUUCACAGCUUUUUCUAAUUCUCUAUUUCUUAGCUUUUUAUUAUACAAAUUGACUUAAA
rnacentral:lncRNA from 1 species